rnacentral:rRNA from 1 species
AGCAGCCGCGGUAAUUCCAGCUCCAAUAGCGUAUAUUAAAGUUGUUGCAGUUAAAAAGCUCGUAGUUGAAUUUCGGGACCAGUAUGUUGGUCGUGCUUCGGUACGUACUGUCAUUACUGGUUUCUCCCUUCUGAAGAACCUUGAUGUCAUUAAUUUGGUGUCUUGGGGAAUCAGGACUGUUACUUUGAAAAAAUUAGAGUGUUUAAAGCAGGCAUACGCUUGAAUACAUUAGCAUGGAAUAAUGAAAUAGGACGUUUGAUUCUAUUUUGUUGGUUUCUAGGAUCGACGUAAUGAUUAAUAGGGAUAGUUGGGGGCAUUAGUAUUCAAUUGUCAGAGGUGAAAUUCUUGGAUUUAUUGAAGACUAACUACUGCGAAAGCAUUUGCCAAGGAUGUUUUCAUUAAUCAAGACGAAGUUAGGGGAUCGAAGACGAUCAGAUACCGUCGUAGUCUUAACCAUAAACUAUGCCGACUAGGGAUCGGAUGAUGUUAUUUUAAUGACUC